rnacentral:rRNA from 1 species
CAGCAGCCACGGUAAAACGUAGGGUGCAAGCGUUAAUCGGAAUUACUGGGCGUAAAGCGUGCGCAGGCGGUUAUAUAAGACAGAUGUGAAAUCCCCGGGCUCAACCUGGGAACUGCAUUUGUGACUGUAUAGCUAGAGUACGGCAGAGGGGGAUGGAAUUCCGCGUGUAGCAGUGAAAUGCGUAGAUAUGCGGAGGAACACCGAUGGCGAAGGCAAUCCCCUGGGCCUGUACUGACGCUCAUGCACGAAAGCGUGGGGAGCAAACAGGAUUAGAGACCCCAGUAGUCCCUGUCUCUUAUAC